rnacentral:rRNA from 2 species
GGAGAGUUUGAUCAUGGCUCAGAUUGAACGUUGGCGGCAGGUUUCAUACAUGCAAGUCGAACGGGGAGGACUCCUUCGGGAGUACCAACCCAGUGGCGGACGGGUGAGUAACGCGUAGGAAUCUACCUAGUAGUGGGGAAUAACGCCAGGAGACUGGCGCUAAUACCGCAUACGACCUAAGGGUGAAAGCGGGGGAUCUUCGGACCUCGCGCUAUUAGAGGAGCCUGCGUUGGAUUAGCUUGUUGGUGAGGUAACGGCUCACCAAGGCGACGAUCCAUAGCUGGUCUGAGAGGACGAUCAGCCACACUGGAACUGAGACACGGUCCAGACUUCUAAGGAAGGCAGCAGUAGAGAAUAUUGCACAAUGGGGGAAACCCAGAUGCAGGCAUGCCGCGUGUGUGAAGACAGCCCUAGGGUUGUAAAGCACUUUCGGUGGUGAAGAAAGCCGGCGCGUUAAUACCGCGACCCGGGUAGACGUUAACCAUUAAAGAAGCACCGGCUAACUCCGUGCCAGCAGCCGCGGUAAGACGGAGGGUGCAAACGUUAAUCGGAAUUACUGGGCGUAAAGCGCACGUAGGCGGAUAGUCAAGUGGGACGUGAAAGCCCUCGGCUCAACCGGGGAAUUGCGUUUCAAACUGGCUGUCUAGAGUGUAGUAGAGGAAAGUGGAAUUUGCUGUGUAGCGGUGAAAUGCGUAGAUAUGGCAAGGAACAUCAGUGGCGAAGGCGGCUUUCUGGACUAACACUGACGCUGAGGUGCGAAAGCGUGGGUAGCGAACAGGAUUAGAUACCCUGG